UUUUUUUUUUUUUGUAAACCCUACUCCUUCUCUAUCUCUUCUUCAUUCUUCUCCUCCUCCUUGAUCUCGUUUAUUCAAAAAACGAAAUCUCCUCCCCAGAUCUCUUUACACAAAACCCCAAAUCAAUUAACCCAUUGGCCACUAUCCCUUUUCCUUCCUCAGAUCUCUGAGUUCCAUCUACAGCCUUCGGCAGUUCAACACCACCACAUCUCCAAGGCUCCGCCGUUGUUCACCACAGCAAAUCUUGAAGCUUACGCUGUUCACCACCACCAUAGCUCGAAAGUCUCGCCGUCCUUCACCACCACUACAUCUCAAAGAUCUUGUCGCCGUCAACACUCUUCAAUGUUUAAAAGGUAAAUCUCUCGUUUUACUUCUCAAAUCAACAAAAAAACAGUUGGAUUUUCUUUUAUUUCUUAGGAUCCAAAGAAGGGAAAGCAUAUAGAGAAGAAUCUGUCCAGUGAAAAAAAGAGAACGGCGGAGAGGUGGCGGAGGAGAGCGGCGGAGAGCAAAAACCUUUCUCUGUUGAAGCAUUUUUUAUUUUCUAUUUCAAUUUUAUUUUAUAUAAUUAAAAUCAUUUUUGCAAUUUAAUAAA